rnacentral:rRNA from 1 species
CCCGUUCCCAUACCGAACACGGAAGUUAAGCUCUCUAGCGCCGAUGGUAGUUGGGACCUUGUCCCUGUGAGAGUAGGACGUUGCCAGGCA